rnacentral:lncRNA from 1 species
UACACUCCGGCCCAUUUUCAUGCGGGAAGGAAGCAGAAGACCUGGCCAGCAAUAGCUGCUGUCAUGAAUCCCCUCCGCCGCCUCCGCACUCCGGCGAUCGACGGCGCCGGGGAGCCCUCCCGCGGCCUUUGCCUCGACGCCUAAACGAUACUUUCUCUCCAAAAGGUAACACAGAACUCACUCCCACGGCGACAUUGCUAUCCAGCGAUGCUGCAUUUGCUGUAACGGUGCUAGUUUUUACACCGGCCAUGCCCAACACCCGCUCGACGAUAUGCUUCAAGUCCGUACAAUAGUGUGGGAGACCGACACCCUAGGAUACCAAUGAUGGUGUCUGGUAACUGGGUAUGUCUGUCAUUUCUUGUGUAUUACAAUUGUGCUCUACCCUGCUUAGCGAGGAGCAGCUGCUAUGCCUGUCCAACAUAGGACCUGUGAUUGUGAAAGGAUACCCCAAGUGUUCUGUGCACUGAUACCUCCCCCCACCCCCAAGGCACCAACCCACCACAACUCUAAAGAGGAUAACCAAGACCUACCUUCCCCUGUUUCUUAAUUCUUUUUCUCAAAUUCAGUAACUGGCUUGGGUGACUUUUCUAUAAACAAAAAACAAACUACCUUGGGUGAUCCAUGUGGCUUGUGCUGAUAAAGGGUAUAAACAUCCUGUGAAAAGACGAGGCAUAAAUACAUAAUUGUUGCUGUAGGUGACACCCUGAAUGAGAAUUGAUGUUAACGUGUAAGCACGAAUUUCACUGAUCCUAUUAAGCAUUAUAACUAGCAUACAGGAUGUUAUAGCUUUCAUGUGAAGCCUUUGUCCGGAAAAACCUGAGUCCACCUUCAGUACCCCUUUCUUCCGGUGGAGGGGAGAUAAUGUUCUUGUUUUUUCAGUCUAUAUAACCAUACUUUGUCACAACCAUUGUUUCUUCAAAAAAAAAGGAAAAUAAAUGGCUAAAGAUACUUCUUCCAGAGUCCAACAGAUGUUUAGUUUAGGGGGUUUUGCAAGCAUCAAAAUUGCAAUUAUACACUGAAGAACCAUCUGAUUUACACAUAGCAGACCAAAAUGCAGUACCUUUAUUGUCUUUUUUCCUUCCAUGUCGUACUUAGCUUGCAAUAAGUGAUGCUUUUCUAAUUAAAAACACAAACUUCAACUUAAUUCGAACUUCAGCAUUGUAGAAACUAGGAUUGCUAAAUUACAAUAGUGCAGCCUGACACUUAGGUAUUUUAUGUCUAUAUCAUCACACAGCUUGCUUCAGUAUGCCCAUGCUAGAAAACUUGAUCGACAUCUGUAAGAUAUUGUUACCAAAACUGUUCGAACUUGUACAAUAACUACCAAAUGCAUCAACUUUUCAUGCUUCGUUGAGAUAGGAAAAGGCUACAGACUGAAGGUCGUCCAUGUCAUGGUACCCACUCCCUUGCAUGUUGCAAGAAGGAUUGCUGUUGUAGUCGGGCAUGCAUAAAUCUGGCUCAUAACCUUCAGAAUAUUGAGUUGACACAGAAGUGAAGCAGUCAUUUGUAGAGAAUAGCUGACUUUCACUCUUUACUGAAGAAUUGCUUGCCAUUGUUGGGUGGAAAAAGAGCUGCCCAUCUUGCAUAGAAGGUGUUAAUAUUUCGCGCUUCUCUUUUUGAGGGUUUGAUGUUAAGGAUCCAUCUCCGUACCCUUGUGUUGUCUGAGCUUUGAAUGACUCUAGUUCUGCUUGCAGACUGACCACCUAUGAAAAUUUACAAGUAAUGCACUCUGUCAGUCUUGAUUUCCAUGCAGUGUGAGUUAUUUUUAUAUAGAGAGAUUUUUAAACAACUAAGAAGACUAUGCAUUAUCAAAGUAGUGAACAAGAAUUCUCACAAGAUAGCAAGCUAUGACUAUGAUAGUAUCACACUUAAUGGUUAGCUGCAUUUUGUGUAUUUACAAUUGUUCUUCUUAUGAUACAUCCAAACAACCAUUUUUAAUGCUAGCUAGUUAAGUUUGUUUUAUGCGUUAUUUCACUGCGAGGCCUAAGAGUUUUCAGCAUUUUCCAAAUUAUAGUGGCAUUUUUAUGAGGCUGCAACUAGAGUGGCAUUUCCCCUUUCUCAGUGAUUGUGAACUGAACACCUCAUUUACGCAGAACUUUGUUUUUUUAAAUGAGUGCUAAUGUAGAAUCUUCUUACCUGUUGUUGCAGAGAAAAGAUGUGAGCAACACAGCCAUAUAUUGGAUCUUGAAGCCUGGCCUGCGCCUCAUAUGACAUAGUAACUGCAGCCUCGCAACGGUCACUUAUCGGGAGAUGCAUUAGGAGCUUUGAGGCAUUGCUAGCCCCAAA